ACGAACGCUGGCGGCAGGCCUAACACAUGCCAGUCGAGCGAGAUCUUCGGGUCUAGCGGCGGACGGGUGAGUAACGCGUGGGAAUAUGCCUCUUGGUACGGAAUAGCCUCGGGAAACUGGGAGUAAUACCGUAUGUGCCCUUUGGGGGAAAGAUUUAUCGCCAAGAGAUUAGCCCGCGUUGGAUUAGGUAGUUGGUGGGGUAAUGGCCUACCAAGCCGACGAUCCAUAGCUGGUUUGAGAGGAUGAUCAGCCACACUGGGACUGAGACACGGCCCAGACUCCUACGGGAGGCAGCAGUGGGGAAUCUUAGACAAUGGGGGCAACCCUGAUCUAGCCAUGCCGCGUGAGUGAUGAAGGCCUUAGGGUUGUAAAGCUCUUUCAGCUGGGAAGAUAAUGACGGUACCAGCAGAAGAAGCCCCGGCUAACUCCGUG
rnacentral:rRNA from 1 species